AACGUAGGAGACAAACGUUAUCCGGAGUUACUGGGCGUAAAGGCGUGUAGGUGGUAGUGUAAGUCUGGCGUGAAAUUUUUCGGCUUAACCGGGAAAGGUCGUCGGAUACUGCACAACUAGAGGACGGUAGAGGCGUGUGGAAUUCCGGGUGUAGUGGUGAAAUGCGUAGAGAUCCGGAGGAACACCAGUGGCGAAGGCGACACGCUGGGCCGUACCUGACACUGAUGCGCGACAGCAUGGGGAGCAAACAGG
rnacentral:rRNA from 1 species